rnacentral:lncRNA from 9 species
GAAGCCACCGCUGGGGCGGGGCAGAAGCUGGAGGGCGGAGGUUGACGCGGAGUCGCUGCUGGUUCGAAUGGACAGAAAAGCCUGCGCCAGUUUGAGUUCGGUGGGAACGCCGGUGCCAUGGAGCCUCGGUACCGCCCUGUCCCACUGUUGUUGCGCCUUUAUUCCCUGGUUUCUUCAACAAACAUUUAUCGAGCGGUUGCGGUGAUAGUCCUUGGAGAGUGCUUUGCUGCGUGCUGGGGAACUCCAGAGUUGAUUAUCCUGGUCCAGCCGGAGUUUACAUCGUUGGGGAUGGCUGACCUACAGAAAACAGCUGUUUAAUCAUCUCCUCCAAUCGAAAUCAGUGUCCUUUUCACCAAAUAAAAUAAUCUCCCUGCUCUCGUGAAGGGAGGCCGCACUCAGGAGCCAGAGGCGUUUAUUUGCCUAGUAGGAAGAAUGUGCCAAAACGGCCCCACCGGGGGCAUAGGAAGUUGAGUGGGAGCUGCAGCUGCCAGCCUGUACCACAGCCACAGCAAGGCCAGAUCCAAGCCAUGUCUGCCAUCUACACCACAGCUCAUGGCAACAAUGCUGGAUCCUUAACCCACUGAAUGAGGCCGGGGGUCAAACCAGAGUCCUCAUGGAUACUAGUUGGAUUUGUUACCACUGAGCCACAAUGGAACUCCCUCUUCUCCCUGAUUUUUAGCUUGCAGACCUUGAAACCUGCAUUUUCCUCUUAGAGUAGCUGCCUCCUCCUGGGCUUAUAUCCUUCCUACUCAUGCUAAUGCCUUGCUUGGACACUCAGCAUGUUCAACAUCUUUGCUUCUUACCCACCACUGUAUCCACUGUUCAAAUUAACAACCCUGGAUCCAUCCUGUGGUAUAUUUUCUUGGAUUGGAUGUUGUGACUGGCUUGAAACAGGUACAAUAUAUAUUCAAUGAACACUAAGGAGGCUGUUCUGUUGGAGAAUAGCACAGAUUGAUAUGUAAUAACAGCACAGAUUGAUGCUGUAAUAAAUUCUUGGUUUUAGUAUCAGUUUGGGUUCUCAGCUUCUUUCACCUCCCUUCUUCCAGUUAGGAACUCUGGAUCUAUGAACUGACAGGAGUCUGGGUGUUGGAUACUUUCUGUAUAGUCAUUCAACUAAGAUUUCUGCUUACCUGGCUUAGAUUUUCUCUGAUUUUUUUGUUUGUUUUUGGUCACACCUGUGGUGUGCAGAAAUUCCCAGUCUAGAGAUAGAACACACACCACAGAAGUUACAAUGCUGGAUCCUUUAACUGCUAGGCCACCAGGGAACUCCUAGACUUUCUCUGAUUUUUUUUUUUUUUUGGUCUUUUUAGGGCCACUCCCUCAGCAUGUGGAAGUUCUCGAGCUACGGGUCCAAUCAGAGCCAGAGCUGCCAGCGUACGCCACAGCCAUAGCAAUACCAGACCCAAGCUACAUCUGACCUACACCACAGCUCACAGCAGCGCUGGAUCCUUAAACCACUGAGCGAGGCCAGGGUCAAACCUGCAUCCUCACAGAUACUAGUCAGGUUCAUUUCCACAGAGCCACAGUGGGAACUCUCUCCAAUUUUUUAGAUAAAGCCAUACCUUGGUGGAGGCUGUCCAUCUAUUUUAUUCUUGGGAACUUUAUGAUCAACUAGAAAUUGCCAGAGACCCUGAGAGGCUAAAUGCUCCAAUGGCCAUUCUGCCCUGUGCUUUAUUAUGUUAAUUGUGCCCACUUUGUCCCUGCUGGUCCUUGCUGGUCAGGUGCCACCACCUGACCUCUACCACACAGGGGACCCAUUAUUCCCACUGAAAUCAGGAUACCCAAUUCAAUGGCAGUAUCUCCCAGUAACAUCUCUGGCCUACAGAGGACAGUCAGAUGAUUUUUAUGGAUGCUGGUGCUCCCUUCACUAAAGCAUUCCUGGGCCUCCUGGGUUGUACAGUAGGGGUUGGCUGGGCUGGGUGCACAUAGUGAAUUAACACCAGCAUCCCAUCUCACUAAGCCAUCAAACUCCUCUAACAUAUGCUAGGAAAGUUUCAGCAUCUCAACCUGGGCCGUCUAGGAACCAGGUUUCAAUCAGCUGUACAAGCAAACCCUUAGCACCAUUUGGUACCGUAACAGCCAUUUCAGGACCAAAGCAAAAGAGAGAGCUGCAGCUAUGGUAACAGAUCCAAUUGCAUCCAAAAUGUCUGUGAUGAAUAGGGAUAUUGUAUGCAGCCCCUGACAACGCCUAUUGGAGCAAGACAUAUCCAUUUGACAGGCAGUUCCUUGGCUGCUACUGGAUAUGUUGAAUCUAGAAUUCUUGGCAAGUGCACUCAUAUUGAUCAGUUUCGUCCUCUCUAAUUUUAUAAUCCAUCCUAUUUGGUCAAUGCCUUUAUUGUCCAUUCCAAGGAUCUUGUGGCUGUGAGUUGGUAGAAUCCUGCAACUCCUUUGGAAUAUACUUUUUCUCUUCCUGAAUUAGGUUUUGUGAUUCACUCUUUAGGAUGUAUAGGAAUUUCUUUUCCUAAAAAAAAAAAAAAAAAAGUUUUACUUGGAAAUAAUUUCAAACUCACAGAAACGUUACAGGAAUAAAAAUAGGAUAAAAAUUAUCCAUACACCUGUUAGGGGUUGAAUUGUAUCCCCAAAAUAGAUAUGUUGAGAUCAUAACCUUGAUACCAUGGAGUGGAACCUUAUUUCGAAAUAGGGUCUUUACAGAGGUGAUCAGGUUUUUCGCUUAAGGUCUUUAGCUUAGGCCCUAAUCCAAUAUGACUGGUGUCCUUAAUGCAAAGGGGAAAUGUGAGCACAGAGAAACACGCAGGGAAAAUGGCACAGGAACAUGAAAAUGGAGAUGAGUGAUGUGUCUACGUCUAAAAGCCAAGGAACGAAAGGUUUACAGCAAAGCGCCAGCAGCUUUUGCAGGCGAGAGCCCUGGAACAAUUUUCCCAUCACAGCCUCAGGAGGAACCUUGAUCUUGGACUUCCAGCCUCCAGGGCUGGGAGACAGUACAUUUCUGAGGUUUAAGCCAUGCCAAGUGUGUAGUACUUUGUUGGCAGCCUUGGCAAGCUAAUGCAUACUGCUUACCCACGUUUGUUAAUUGUUAACAUUUUGUAUCACUUGCGUGGAUUUUCUCUCAAUAAAUAUGUGCAUAAUAUAUAUUUUACUGAACAAUUUAUGAGUAAAUUGUAUAUGUUGUGACCCUUUAUUCCUAAAUAUUUCAGGGUAUGUUUUCUAAGAAUAAGGAUAUUCUCUUAUGUAGACACCACAGUGCAGUGAUCAACUUCAGUACAUUUAACCUUAAUAAAAUCGUUUCAUUUACUCUA